CCUACGGGGUGCAGCAGUGGGGAAUAUUGCGCAAUGGGCGAAAGCCUGACGCAGCGACGCCGCGUGAGGGCUGAAGGUCUUCGGAUCGUAAACCUCUGUCAGCAGGGAAGAACGGUCACUGUGCUAAUCAGCAGUGAAUUGACGGUACCUGCAAAGGAAGCACCGGCUAACUCCGUGCCAGCAGCCGCGGUAAUACGGAGGGUGCGCGCGUUAAUCGGAAUUACUGGGCGUAAAGCGCUCGUAGGCGGUAUGUCAAGUCAAGGGUGAAAUCCCCGCGCUAAACGUGGGAACUGCCUUUGAAACGGGCAAACUGGGGUGUGUGAGAGGAUAGUGGAAUUCCAGGUGUAGGAGUGAAAUCCGUAGAUAUCUGGAGGAACAUCAGUGGCGAAGGCGACUAUCUGGCACAUAACUGACGCUGAGGAGCGAAAGCGUGGGUAGCAAACAGGAUUAGAUACCCCAGAGUC
rnacentral:rRNA from 1 species